rnacentral:rRNA from 1 species
CAGUCGCCGCGGUAAUACGUAGGGUGCAAGCGUUAUCCGGAAUUAUUGGGCGUAAAGAGCUCGUAGGCGGUUUGUCGCGUCUGCUGUGAAAACUGGAGGCUCAACCUCCAGCCUGCAGUGGGUACGGGCAGACUAGAGUGCGGUAGGGGAGAUUGGAAUUCCUGGUGUAGCGGUGGAAUGCGCAGAUAUCAGGAGGAACACCGAUGGCGAAGGCAGAUCUCUGGGCCGUAACUGACGCUGAGGAGCGAAAGCGUGGGGAGCGAACAGGAUUAGAUACCCGCGUAGUCCCUGUCUCUUAUAA